rnacentral:rRNA from 1 species
UUCCCCUUCAGCCCGGGGAAAAAACCCUAAAAAAAAUUUUCCCCCAACGGGGGAGAAACACGUGGGCAGUCUGCCAGGCGGCUCUGGGACAAGCCCUGGUUUCCGGGGUCUAAUACCGGAUAUGAGCCUGGGAGGCAUCUCCUGGGUUGUAAAGCUCCGGCGGUGAAGGAUGAGCCCGCGGCCUAUCACCUUGUUGGUGAGGUAAUGGCUCACCAGGGCGACGACGGGUAGCCGGCCUGAGAUGGCGACCGGCCCACUGGGACUGAGACUCGGUCCAGAUUCCUACGGGAGGCAGCAGUGGGGAAUUUUUUUUUUUUGGCCGAAUGCCUGAUGCACCGCACUCCGCCCGAGGGGAUGACGGGCCCUCCCGUUGUAAACCUCUUUCAGCUAGGGAAGGAGUCUAAAUUCACAGUUUGGUGCAGAAAGAACCCUCGGCCUAUCUUCCCCCCCCCCCGCCGCGGUAAUCACGUUAUGGUCCCCCGCCGUGGUCCAAGAAUUUAUCGGCCCCUUUCACCCUCCCUCCCCCCCGGCCAGUGUUGUCCACGCCCUCGCCUGUGGCUCUCCCCCGAUCUCUUUAUCUCUCCUGAGUUAUCGACCCCACUUUUCCUCGGGCCUACUCUUCCCAUGGUGGGCUAGGGGCCAAAUCUCGGUCCUCCCUCGGUUCCUCCACCCAUUUUCAUCCCUUAAUCUUCCCACCGCAGUUUUCCUCCUUUCGCUAUGGCCUGCUUCCUCUUUUCAUCCCCCUCCUCCCCUCUGUAUCUCGCCCAUUCCCCCCGGGCACCCCACUUCUAAAUUUUCCCGCUUCCCCCUCCUCACCACUAUCCCUAAUCACCCCCCUUCGUUCCUAUUCCUUCCUCCCCUUU